rnacentral:rRNA from 1 species
CAGUCGCCGCGGUAAUACGUAGGUGGCAAGCGUUGUCCGGAAUUAUUGGGCGUAGAGCGCGCGCAGGUGGUUUAAUAAGUCUGAUGUGAAAGCCCACGGCUCAACCGUGGAGGGUCAUUGGAAACUGUUAAACUUGAGUGCAGGAGAGAAAAGUGGAAUUCCUAGUGUAGCGGUGAAGUGCGUAGAGAUGUGGAGGAACACCAGUGGCGAAGGCGACUCUCUGGUCUGUAACUGACGCUGAGGAGCGAAAGCGUGGGGAGCGAACAGGAUUAGAUACCCCUGUAGUCCCUGUCUCUUAUAC